CAGAAAGAGCCCAUCGUUCAGCAGGAGGAGGAAAGCACUGACAAUCACACUGUGAAGAAUUCGUCAGAGAACACUGAUGACCAAAAAAAUGGAGGAACUGUGGGGAGAAUAAAGUUUUCCCUGUUUAAGAGAAAACCACUGACAAGCCAGAAGACUGAAUGUAGUGGAAAGGAAGACAGCCCUGAAAAGCCAUUGCAGAGUGAAGAAAAAGAAAAGGAAGAUUUAUCUGGUGAAGACAGUAAGGAUGAAAAUCAGAAUCAUACACCAGAGAAUUCCAGUGAAACUGCAACUAACCAGAACAGAAGGGUGAAAGUUAAUACAUGUGUAUUGCUGUAACACUGUUACAAUAUAUGAGAAUGUGACAGUCUUAAAGCACAUAAGUACAAUUUUUACUUGAAAACAUUUCAAGUUAUGACUUGAGAUGUUGAUGGCUGCUUUUGUUUUUAUUGAUUUGAUUGCUGUAAUUUUAAAUAGGCAGAUGAUUUUUUUGGUAUUUAUUGGUAAUUUUAAUAGUUCAAAAUGAUGUGCUUAUCAGCACUUUGCUGGA